rnacentral:rRNA from 1 species
UACGGGGGGAGCAAGCGUUGUUCGGAUUUACUGGGCGUAAAGGGCGCGUAGGCGGUCGUGACAAGUCACUUGUGAAAUCUCCGGGCUCAACUCGGAACGGUCAAGUGAUACUGUCGUGCUAGAGUACAGAAGGGGCAACUGGAAUUCUCGGUGUAGCGGUGAAAUGCGUAGAUAUCAGGAGGAACACCGGUGGCGAAAGCGGCUACCUGGCCCAUUCUUGACGCUGAGGCGCGAAAGCUAGGGGAGCAAACGGG